AAUAAGUUAUCAUUUUAAACAUAUUUAAACAAUGUAGGUAAAAUAUUCAAAUAAUGUAGUUAACCAAUUGAAAUAAUAUAGUUAACACUUUCAAAUAAUACAGUGAACACAUUUAAAUAAUAUAGUUAACACAUUUAGAUAAUUUAGUUAACACAUUUAAAUAAUUUAGUUAACACCUUGAGAUAAUGUAGUAAACACAUAUAUAUAAUAGUUAAGGCAUUUAGAUAAUUUAGAAUACAUAUUCAAAUGAGUUAAAAUAGUUAACAGUUACUUACUUAAAACGUGUUAAUUAUUAAUAUGAUCACAUACUUUUCAUACUUUGCGCCAAUUUGAACAUAUAUUAUCAUUUCAGGAUUGAUUAACUUCUACUUUUAUCGUAAGGGAGUCGAACAGGGAAAGAGUAACAACGAAAACAAAGGAGCUAUCGACCUGGUAACAGCGAUUUGUACCCAGGAAAAUUUGGCAAGUCCACAAGACAUUCCGGAAUGUGUGAGAUGUCGGCUGAUUGCAAACCCUGCGCAGUGCGUCGCACCGUGUAACCUGAUAUUAACACCCCUUUGUACAGCUUAAUCAUGAUUUUGGCGUAACUGUCUUAAUAUAUGACUACCAACAAAAUUGAUGAAACAUAUGUUUAUUUCUUUUGGAACCCACACAAAAUACUGACAUCCAAAAGUUAAUAUCCGGAAGCUCAACCUGUCAUCAACAAAAUUCAAUUGGAUUUUCUGCUAUUAUUUAUUUAGAAUAUGUUCAACCUGAUGUUAUAAAUAAAUAUCAAAUGCUUUUACAACUGUUGAUCUUAAUCAAUACAAUUGUUGUUCAUACUUUAUAAACGAAACAUUUUAACAUCACGUGAAUGCAUUAUACCUUAUCACUUACAUAUGCAUUAGACGCUGAUUAAGUAUAGCUAUAUAGCCAGAGAGACAGAGGAAACACAUAUUACUUUUUGAAGAGGCGAGCAGUUUUUAAACAGCAAAUAUAAUAAAACAACGGCCAAUGUAUACAGUUAGAGGGUUAAUUAAUUGAAUGUACAUCAAGUAUUUCAUAUCAAAAUAAACCAGAUGCUAAACAAGGUCACUGUGACCUAUAAUGUCCGCUAAUUCGAAAUGUUAUGUACCACGGGUUCCCGUCAAGCUCCAUGACUUACAAAAAUUCGUACAUGUUUAAAAUUCUUGACUUAAGAAACUUUCUGAAAAGGUAACCAGGUCAAUAGUUCGAGGAACAUGAAGUAGUCGAGUUAUCAGAGCCUAGUCCUAGACCAUUAGAGGUAUUGAUCCCACGUAUGUUACACGACACUCAAUGAAUGUCUACUUAGUUACGGCGCCGACAGGUGUGAUUUAUUACGUUUUGUAAUAACUGAAGCACAAAAGAAAGACAAUGGAAGAUUUAACAACAUUUCAUUAUUUUGAAAAAGAUAUAAGCUGUACGAAUGUGUCAUACCUUGCCAGUUACAAGAAAGGAAAUUUCAAAAUAUGACAAGGGCCUACCUUGAUAUCCGUUAUAUAAGCACGUGUCGUUCGAAUUGACGGAAGCACAACAGUAUGUGUGAUGUGUUUUACAGUAUAAAUGCUAUCCGAAUAAACCCCUUCCAAGUAUUAUUUUAUUUGCAUUUUGUGCUGUGUAGUUCUAUUUUUUUUUAGUCAUCAACGCGGGUGAAUCGACUGGUGUUACUGGCAUAGAGGAGUAAGAUAAUGUGUCUCAUACUUAUUACGAUGCUCAAAAAGAGGCGAGAUUCACAACAUUUAAAUUUAGAAUGAUUCUGGAUGUUGAAUGUCGCAAAACGAGCUACUCAAAAUUCAUGUUCUGAUUGUUUAUUAUAAAUCUGAAUAAUUCUAAAUGUUAACCCAGUGGACACAAAACGUUCGGAGAACGUCCGGAAAACGUCCUAUUAAGGUCACAACGUCCGGGACUUUCCUACAACGUUGUGAGAACGUUUCAUGUCAAACGUUAGUACAACGUUAGCUUUUGACGUUGUAACAACGUUGUAACAAGGUUUUAAUGCAAACUUUGUGUAUUUGUUGUUAAUUUUAAACGGCUUGCAAGUUUACACAAAUGCCAAAGACAUACCGAACGAAAACAUCAAAUUUCAUGAUAAAUUUAAUUAUCUGAUUGGCUCGAAAUUUUAUUUGUCAAUAAUGAAUCUGUUUAGAUUAGUUUAAAAGCAACCUACGUCGCCUAUAAUGUGUCCUAAUGAUAUAAUAUCGAUCAUUUAUCCUUUCCUGAUCCAAUUUUGCUGUUAGACCUCCUUUUAUACCAAUAAAUGUGAUCAAACUCGAACUUACGAGGUUACGAUAACAAAUCGGUGUUACCUCCCUUGAUGUUGCAAUAUAUAUCCGCCAGGGGGCAAUACAAACAUUCACAUUCAUUUAAAAAGCUUUUUUUAAACGACUUAAUUUCAGUUUUAAGUGCAUGAAAAUAUCAUGUUUUGGUUGAAACCGUUGCGAUUUUUUUUCGGGAAAAGAAAUAGAUAGAGAGAAGAAAAAAGAGUAUUGAUAUUUGCGCGGUAAUUUUAACUUCCGGUUCUUUGUUCUGCAAACACACGCUCAACACACGUGGGCCCAACACACACAUAUUUCAAUCGGACUGUUGACAUGCUGUACUGGAUUAUGUAUUUGCUUUCAAAAUAACAUAUGGAAUCAGCUUUCUUCCCGAAUACAGAUCAGUAAUUCAAGAUUAAAUGGUGAUAACUGGAUGCACCGAGGUAAUCGGAUACAUCAGUGAUGUGAGUGAUGGGAGGAGUCUAAGCACAUGGACACAUGGAAAUAAAGACAUUAAAAUACUGUUUAAAAACAA